UCAUCCAUUCAUUAGGUAGUGUA
rnacentral:siRNA from 1 species